UACGUAGGUGGCAAGCGUUAUCCGGAUUUACUGGGUGUAAAGGGAGCGCAGGCGGUCUGGCAAGUCUGAUGUGAAAGGCCGGGGCUCAACUCCGGGACUGCAUUGGAAACUGUCAGACUGGAGUGUCGGAGAGGUAAGCGGAAUUCCUAGUGUAGCGGUGAAAUGCGUAGAUAUUAGGAGGAACACCAGUGGCGAAGGCGGCUUACUGGACGAUGACUGACGCUGAGGCUCGAAAGCGUGGGGAGCAAACAGG
rnacentral:rRNA from 1 species